rnacentral:rRNA from 1 species
AAUCAACGCUGGCGGCGUGCCUAACACAUGCAAGUCGAACGAGAAAGUGGAGCAAUCCAUGAGUAAAGUGGCGACCGGGUGAGUAACACGUGACUAACCUGCCCUAGAGUGGGGGAUAACCUCGGGAAACCGGGGCUAAUACCGCAUAACAUCACGAGGGGAAGAUCCUUGUGAUCAAAGGAGCAAUUCGCUCCGGGAGGGGGUCGCGGCUGAUUAGUUAGUUGGCGGGGUAACGGCCCACCAAGACGAAGAUCAGUAGCCGGCCUGAGAGGGCGCACGGCCACACUGGAACUGAAACACGGUCCAGACUCCUACGGGAGGCAGCAGUGGGGAAUUUUGCGCAAUGGGGGAAACCCUGACGCAGCAACGCCGCGUGGAGGAUGAAGUCCCUUGGGAUGUAAACUCCUUUCGAUCGGGACGAUAAUGACGGUACGGGAAGAAGAAGCACCGGCUAACUCUGUGCCAGCCGCCGCGGUAACAC